GUUAUUUUGCCAAUCUUGGCUGCUCACCUUUUCCCCAAAUUGUGCUGCCUAUUGCAGUAGUCUUGGAACUGACCUUGCCAGUGAAGACUGAGGCAAAAAAGGCAUUCAGCACUUCAGCCUUUCUGCAUCAUCUGUCA